AAAUUCUAACAAAAAACCCCCCCCCCAAUAUUUUUGCUCCAGUUAAUAGUUACCAUGUGUAUCACGCACAUGCACACACAUGACAGUUAACAUUCUAACACAUCCACCCACCACAUCCUCAGUAAGUUAGUAAAUAAAAUGAGCUGCAAAUAAAGUGGAACACAGAAUAUUUAGAGGAAAUCUGCCUGUGGCUUAACAGUUAAUUUACAGCCAAAAAUGUGAUUAACAUUUGUGUCUUUGCAGGUUCAUAAGAGUGGAUAAAAGAAACUGUCUUAAGUGACGUUUCAAGUUUUGCUUCCUUUGAAGACUGGAAGAAUUUACACUUUACAGCUUCCCUGGAGUCAGAGAACCUAAAAGCAUGAACUGCAGAGGAGCCACUAGUCUGGGAGUCAGAGCUGCCAGACAGGCUGCCAAGAAGCAAGGUGAACAUACUGGUUUCUGGUGCAAUUUCUUCAAUAUCAAGACAGUUCCACAGAACACCACAUGUUUUUGCCAAUUUUGCCAGUGGCUCUAGCCAUUAUGUUAUAAUGCAAACAGAUUUCCUGGAAAUUACUAUGUGUAUUGUAAAUUUAAAAUAUAAGUCAUAAGCAACUCUUAA